AGUGAACGCUGGCGGUAGGCCUAACACAUGCAAGUCGAACGGCAGCACAGUAAGAGCUUGCUCUUACGGGUGGCGAGUGGCGGACGGGUGCGGGAUACAUCGCAAUCUACUUUUUCGAGGGGGCUAACGCAGGGAAACUUACGCUAUAACUGCAUACGACCUACGGGUGAAAGCAGGGGAUCUUCGGACCUUGCGCGAUUGAAUGAGCCGAUGUCGGAUUAGCUAGUUGGCGGGGUAAAGGCCCACCAAGGCGACGAUCCGUAGCUGGUCUGAGAGGAUGAUCAGCCACACUGGAACUGAGACACGGUCCAGACUCCUACGGGAGGCAGCAGUGGGGAAUAUUGGACAAUGGGCGCAAGCCUGAUCCAGCCAUACCGCGUGGGUGAAGAAGGCCUUCGGGUUGUAAAGCACUUUUGUUGGGAAAGAAAAGCAGCAGGUUAAUACCCCGCUGUUCUGACGUUACCCAAAGAAUAAGCACCGGCUAACUUCGUG
rnacentral:rRNA from 1 species